rnacentral:rRNA from 1 species
AUGUCAUGUGCAAGUGCAUGUCUGAACCUAAGGCUAGUCAACAAAAACGCCGCAGGUGGCCCUGACCUCGCCGAGGCUGUCGGGGAGCACGUCGGUGCGGCCCAUCUUGACCAUGGCCGCCGCGAAGUCCUGGUAGUACUCGUCGGGCGACGACGCGUUGGCCAUCCUCUCGACGUAGCCCCUGGUGGCGGGGUCGUGGAGGAGGCUGCCGUCGGACUGGAAGAGGCCCCCCGUGGCGAGCACGUGGCGGUAGUAGCUGAGGUCGAAGGUGAAGCCGCUGCCGGGGUCCAUGGGCACCUUGGCCCUCCUGCCCCGGCCGCCGCCGCGGCGCGGGCAGAGCUUCCUCAGCUGCCUCGCGUACCGGGCGUCCAGCGACGGGUCCUGGUCCAUGGCGCCCGUGAAGUUGUAGAGCCGCUUCCGGAACGCCUCGCAGUGGGAGGUCCCGAUGCUGUGGCUCCCUGGAGGUGGAGCAAGGAUGCCAUUGUCAGUGCGGUGUGUGUUGGGCUGUUGCUGUCGUCCACGGACGUACGUGCGCGUGAAGCGAUAUAG